rnacentral:rRNA from 1 species
GACGAACGCUGGCGGCGUGCUUAACACAUGCAAGUCGAACGGAAAGGCCCUGCUUUUGUGGGGUGCUCGAGUGGCGAACGGGUGAGUAACACGUGAGUAACCUGCCCUUGACUUUGGGAUAACUUCAGGAAACUGGGGCUAAUACCGGAUAGGAGCUCCUGCUGCAUGGUGGGGGUUGGAAAGUUUCGGCGGUUGGGGAUGGACUCGCGGCUUAUCAGCUUGUUGGUGGGGUAGUGGCUUACCAAGGCUUUGACGGGUAGCCGGCCUGAGAGGGUGACCGGCCACAUUGGGACUGAGAUACGGCCCAGACUCCUACGGGAGGCAGCAGUGGGGAAUAUUGCACAAUGGGCGGAAGCCUGAUGCAGCAACGCCGCGUGCGGGAUGACGGCCUUCGGGUUGUAAACCGCUUUCGCCUGUGACGAAGCGUGAGUGACGGUAAUGGGUAAAGAAGCACCGGCUAACUACGUGCCAGCAGCCGCGGUGAUACGUAGGGUGCGAGCGUUGUCCGGAUUUAUUGGGCGUAAAGGGCUCGUAGGUGGUUGAUCGCGUCGGAAGUGUAAUCUUGGGGCUUAACCCUGAGCGUGCUUUCGAUACGGGUUGACUUGAGGAAGGUAGGGGAGAAUGGAAUUCCUGGUGGAGCGGUGGAAUGCGCAGAUAUCAGGAGGAACACCAGUGGCGAAGGCGGUUUCUCUGGGCCUUUCCUGACGCUGAGGAGCGAAAGCGUGGGGAGCGAACAGGCUUAGAUACCCUGGUAGUCCACGCUGUAAACGGUGGGUACUAGGUGUGGGGUCCAUUCCACGGGUUCCGUGCCGUAGCUAACGCUUUAAGUACCCCGCCUGGGGAGUACGGCCGCAAGGCUAAAACUCAAAGGAAUUGACGGGGCCCCGCACAAGCGGCGGAGCAUGCGGAUUAAUUCGAUGCAACGCGUAGAACCUUACCUGGGUUUGACAUGGAUCGGGAGUGCUCAGAGAUGGGUGUGCCUCUUUUGGGGUCGGUUCACAGGUGGUGCAUGGCUGUCGUCAGCUCGUGUCGUGAGAUGUUGGGUUAAGUCCCGCAACGAGCGCAACCCUUGUUCACUGUUGCCAGCACGUUAUGGUGGGGACUCAGUGGAGACCGCCGGGGUCAACUCGGAGGAAGGUGGGGAUGACGUCAAGUCAUCAUGCCCCUUAUGUCCAGGGCUUCACGCAUGCUACAAUGGCUGGUACAGAGAGUGGCGAGCCUGUGAGGGUGAGCGAAUCUCGGAAAGCCGGUCUCAGUUCGGAUUGGGGUCUGCAACUCGACCUCAUGAAGUCGGAGUCGCUAGUAAUCGCAGAUCAGCAACGCUGCGGUGAAUACGUUCCCGGG